CCUACGGGAGGCUGCAGUGGGGAAUAUUGCACAAUGGGCGCAAGCCUGAUGCAGCCAUGCCGCGUGUAUGAAGAAGGCCCUAGGGUUGUAAAGUACUUUCAGUCGGGAGGAAGGCGUUGAUGCUAAUAUCAUCAACGAUUGACGUUACCGACAGAAGAAGCACCGGCUAACUCCGUGCCAGCAGCCGCGGUAAUACGGAGGGUGCAAGCGUUAAUCGGAAUUACUGGGCGUAAAGCGCACGCAGGCGGUUGAUUAAGUUAGAUGUGAAAUCCCCG
rnacentral:rRNA from 1 species